rnacentral:rRNA from 1 species
CCUACGGGAGGCAGCAGUGGGGAAUAUUGGACAAUGGGCGAAAGCCUGAUCCAGCCAUGCCGCGUGUGUGAAGAAGGCCUUCGGGUUGUAAAGCACUUUCAGUGGGGAAGAAAGCCUUGGGGCUAAUACCCUCGAGGAAGGACAUCACCCACAGAAGAAGCACCGGCUAACUCCGUGCCAGCAGCCGCGGUAAUACGGAGGGUGCGAGCGUUAAUCGGAAUUACUGGGCGUAAAGCGCGCGUAGGCGGUCUGAUAAGCCGGUUGUGAAAGCCCCGGGAUCAACCUGGGAACGGCAUCCGGAACUGUCAGGCUAGAGUGCAGGAGAGGAAGGUAGAAUUCCCGGUGUAGCGGUGAAAUGCGUAGAGAUCGGGAGGAAUACCAGUGGCGAAGGCGGCCUUCUGGACUGACACUGACGCUGAGGUGCGAAAGCGUGGGUAGCAAACAGGAUUAGAUACCCGAGUAGUC